CACGUAGGCGGGUUGUUAAGUCAGGGGUGAAAUCCCGGAGCUCAACUCCGGAACUGCCUUUGAUACUGGCAAUCUAGAGACUGGAAGAGGUUAGUGGAAUUCCCAGUGUAGAGGUGAAAUUCGUAGAUAUUGGGAAGAACACCAGUGGCGAAGGCGGCUAACUGGUCCAGUACUGACGCUGAGGUGCGAAAGCGUAGGGAGCAAACA
rnacentral:rRNA from 1 species